GGUCAGGUGGUGUAAUGGUUAACACCCCUGCUAUAUAUGCAGAAGCCUAUGCAGAAGCCCUGGGUUCAAUCCCCAGUCUGGCCA